rnacentral:rRNA from 1 species
UACAGAGGGGGCAAGCGUUGUUCGGAAUUACUGGGCGUAAAGGGCGCGUAGGCGGCCUGCUAAGUCGAACGUGAAAUCCCUGGGCUCAACCCAGGAACUGCGUCCGAUACUGGUUGGCUUGAAUCCGGGAGAGGGAUGUGGAAUUCCAGGUGUAGCGGUGAAAUGCGUAGAUAUCUGGAGGAACACCGGUGGCGAAGGCGACAUCCUGGCCUGUUCUUGAC